AACGAACGCUGGCGGCAGGCUUAACACAUGCAAGUCGAACGUCCUGGCAACAGGGCGUGGCAGACGGGUGCGUAACGCGUGGGAACAUACCUUUCGGUUCGGAAUAACCCAGGGAAACUUGGGACAAUACCGGAUACGUGCGAAAGCAGAAAGAUUUAUCGCCGAAAGAUUGGCCCGCGUCCGAUUAGCUAGUUGGUGAGGUAAUGGCUCACCAAGGCGACGAUCGGUAGCUGGUCUGAGAGGAUGAUCAGCCACACUGGGACUGAGACACGGCCCAGACUCCUACGGGAGGCAGCAGUGGGAAUAUUGGACAAUGGGGGAGACCCUGACCCAGCGACGCCGCGUGAGGGACGAAGGUUUUCGGAUCGUAAACCUCUGUUGUACGGGAAGAAGGAUGUGACGGUACCGUACGAGGGAAGCCCCGGCAAACUACGUG
rnacentral:rRNA from 1 species